GGUCAAGCUACAAAGGGCUCACGGCGGAUACCUUGGCACACAGAGGCGAUGAAGGACGUGGUUACCUGCGAUAAGUCUCGGGGAGCUGGAAACACGCUUUGAUCCGGGAAUUUCCGAAUGGGGCAACCCCUAGAACGGCCAGCUGAAUCCAUAGGCUGGCGCGAGCCAACCCAGCGAACUGAAACAUCUUAGAGCGAGAAGAA
rnacentral:rRNA from 2 species